rnacentral:rRNA from 1 species
UACGUAGGGUGCGAGCGUUAAUCGGAAUUACUGGGCGUAAAGCGUGCGCAGGCGGUUUUGUAAGCCAGAUGUGAAAUCCCCGGGCUUAACCUGGGAAUGGCAUUUGGGACUGCAAGGCUGGAGUGCGGCAGAGGAGACUGGAAUUCCUGGUGUAGCGGUGGAAUGCGCAGAUAUCAGGAGGAACACCAAUAGCGAAGGCAGCUCGCUGGGACGGUACUGACGCUAAGGCGCGAAAGCGUGGGGAGCGAACAGG